UCCGCCAUACAUGUUUCUAUC
rnacentral:miRNA from 1 species